rnacentral:rRNA from 1 species
UCCUACGGGAGGCAGCAGUAGGGAAUCUUCCACAAUGGACGCAAGUCUGAUGGAGCAACGCCGCGUGAGUGAAGAAGGUUUUCGGAUCGUAAAGCUCUGUUGUUGGUGAAGAAGGAUAGAGGUAGUAACUGGCCUUUAUUUGACGGUAAUCAACCAGAAAGUCACGGCUAACUACGUGCCAGCAGCCGCGGUAAUACGUAG